CUACGGGGUGCUCCAGUGAGGAAUAUUGGUCAAUGGGCGAGAGCCUGAACCAGCCAUCCCGCGUGCAGGAUGACGGCCCUAUGGGUUGUAAACUGCUUUUCCAUACCAAGAAACCUGAUUACGUGUAAUUAGUUGCCGGUAGUAUGGGAAUAAGCAUCGGCUAACUCCGUGCCAGCAGCCGCGGUAAUACGGAGGAUGCAAGCGUUAUCCGGAUUCAUUGGGUUUAAAGGGUGCGCAGGUGGGCUUGUAAGUCAGUGGUGAAAUGUUGCCGCUUAACGGUAAAAUUGCCAUUGAUACUGCAAGUCUUGAAUAUAGUUGAGGUAGGCGGAAUGUGUUGUGUAGCGGUGAAAUGCAUAGAUAUGACACAGAACACCGAUUGCGAAGGCAGCUUACUAAGCUAUUAUUGACGCUGAGGCACGAAAGCGUGGGGAUCGAACAGGAUUAGAUACCCUCGUAGUC
rnacentral:rRNA from 1 species